AUUGAACGCUGGCGGCAUGCCUUACACAUGCAAGUCGAACGGCAGCACGGGUGCUUGCACCUGGUGGCGAGUGGCGAACGGGUGAGUAAUACAUCGGAACAUGUCCUGUAGUGGGGGAUAGCCCGGCGAAAGCCGGAUUAAUACCGCAUACGAUCUACGGAUGAAAGCGGGGGACCUUCGGGCCUCGCGCUAUAGGGUUGGCCGAUGGCUGAUUAGCUAGUUGGUGGGGUAAAGGCCUACCAAGGCGACGAUCAGUAGCUGGUCUGAGAGGACGACCAGCAACACUGGGACUGAGACACGGCCCAGACUCCUACGGGAGGCAGCAGUGGGGAAUUUUGGACGAUGGGCGAAAGCCUGAUCCAGCAAUGCCGCGUGUGUGAAGAAGGCCUUCGGGUUGUAAAGCACUUUUGUCCGGAAAGAAAUCCUUGGCCCUAAUACGGUCGGGGGAUGACGGUACCGGAAGAAUAAGCACCGGCUAACUACGUG
rnacentral:rRNA from 1 species